GACGAACGCUGGCGGCGUGCUUAACACAUGCAAGUCGAACGAAGAGCGAUGGAAGCUUGCUUCUAUCAAUCUUAGUGGCGAACGGGUGAGUAACGCGUAAUCAACCUGCCCUUCAGAGGGGGACAACAGUUGGAAACGACUGCUAAUACCGCAUACGAUCUGACCUCGGCAUCGAGGAUAGAUGAAAGGUGGCCUCUAUUUAUAAGCUAUCACUGAAGGAGGGGAUUGCGUCUGAUUAGCUAGUUGGAGGGGUAACGGCCCACCAAGGCGAUGAUCAGUAGCCGGUCUGAGGGGCAGACGGGCCAAUUGGGGACUGAAACACGGCCCAGACUCCUACGGGGGGGCGCAGUGGGGAAUCUCCCGAAAUGGACGAAAGUCUGACGGAGCAACCCCGCGGGGGGGAUGCCGGCCUUCGGGUUUUAAAGCUGUUUUAUCCGGGACGAAAGGCCUUCUUGCGAAUAGUUAGAAGGAUUGACGGUACCGGAAUAGAAAGCCACGGCUAACUACGU
rnacentral:rRNA from 1 species